GACGAACGCUGGCGGCGUGCCUAAUACAUGCAAGUAGAACGCUGAAGGAGGAGCUUGCUUCUCUGGCUGAGUUGCGAACGGGUGAGUAACGCGUAGGUAACCUGCCUGGUAGCGGGGGAUAACUAUUGGAAACGAUAGCUAAUACCGCAUAAGAGUAGAUGUUGCAUGACAUUUGCUUAAAAGGUGCACUUGCAUCACUACCAGAUGGCCCUGCGUUGUAUUAGCUAGGUGGUGGGGUAACGGCUCACCAAGGCGACGAUAAAUAGCCGACCUGAGAGGGUGAUCGGCCAAACUGGGACUGAGACAAGGCCCAGACUCCUACGGGAGGCAGCAGUAGGGGAUCUUCGGCAAUGGACGGAAGUCUGACCGAGCAACGCCGGGUGAGUGAAGAAGGGUUUCGGAUCGUAAAGCUCUGUUGUAAGAGAAGAACGAGUGGGAGAGUGGAAAGUUCACACUGUGACGGUAUCUUACCAGAAAGGGACGGCUAACUACGUG
rnacentral:rRNA from 1 species